CCAUUUUCUGCAGCACUGUGCUUGUACGGGCGGAGAAGGCGAUGGCACCCCACUCCAGUACUCUUGCCUGGAAAAUCCCAUGGAUGGAGGAGCCUGGUAGGCUGCAGUCCAUGGGGUAGCUAAGAGUCGGACACGACUGAGCGACUUCACUUUCACUUUUCACUUUCAUGCAUUGGAGAAGGAAAUGGCAGCCCACUCCAGUAUUCUUACCUGCAUAAUCCCAGGAACGGGGGAGCCUGGUGGGCUGCCGUCUCUGGGGUCGCACAGAGUCGGACACGACUGAAGCGACUUAGCAGCAGCAGCAGCAGCAGUGCUUGUGCGGGAGGUAUUUACUAACACCUUGAAAAUAGUAGGGGAAGAUAAUUUGGGGUAGUUUGAACUGAUUUGUAAGCCACCUAGACUUUCUGUGGAGUGGAAUCUGAAGACGAAAACAAGCUUUCUCUAAUUUCAGAAAAAAAUAUUAUAAAUUAAAAGUUCAGUCUCUUUUCUAGGCGUUUCUGUUGAAGAAGGAAAAAGAGUCAUACUGAAUCCAUUCGCUUCAGACUGGGACUUGAACUCAUAUGUCCGGGCCUUGAACCUGGCCACAUCCCAUGAUCUUCCAACUGAGAUUACACACCCAGUCUCAGGACUUAAUGAAGCUCAGAUUCUUGAUGUCACACUACAGAAAGGAUUCAAUGAGAGACAAAGUGAUAAGUCAGAAGUGGAUUUAUUUAGAGAGAUAUACAUUCCACAGAGUAUGGGCCAUCGCAGAGGGCAAAUACAGACUUGAAAUGUGGUACGGUUAGCUUUUAUCGGCUGGAUAAUUUCAUAAGGUGCAAAUAAGAGCCAGUCUCCUCAAUCACCAACCGUGUUCUGUGUUAAAGUUUCAUAUGCCUCAGAGUGCUCUACUCCUCACACUCAUCCUGAGAGGUACCUGUAUGAAUUUUGUAAUCAGGAAAAGAAAGGGAUGACGCCGAAGCAGAAGAAAAGCAGAUGAUGAUGAUGGCGAUGGUGAAGAGUUCUGUGAAGAGUUCUGUCGGAACGCCUUCCUUUUUAUCUCGGUGGGAGGCAAAGGAUCUUCUUUUCCU
ensembl:lncRNA